AGUGAACGCUGGCGGUAGGCCUAACACAUGCAAGUCGAACGGCAGCACAGUAAGAGCUUGCUCUUACGGGUGGCGAGUGGCGUACGGGAGAGGAAUACAUCGGAAUCUACUUUUUCGUGGGGGAUCACGUAGGGAAACUUACGCUAAUACCGCAUACGACCUACGGGGGAAAGCAGGGGAUCGUCGGACCUUGCGCGAUUGAAUGAGCCGAUGUCGGAUUAGCUAGUUGGCGGGGUAAAGGCCCACCAAGGCGACGAUCCGUAGCUGGUCUGAGAGGAUGGUAGGCCACACGGGAAGUGAGACACGCACCAGAGUCCUACGGGAGGCAGCAGUGGCGAAUAUUGGGCAAUGGGCGCAAGCAUGACCCAGCCAUACCGCGUGGGAGAAGAAGGCCUCCGGGUUGUAAAGCCCUUUUGUUGGGAAAGAAAAGCAGCAGGUUAAUACGCAGCUGUUCUGACGGUAACCAAAGAAUAAGCACCGGCUAACUUCGUG
rnacentral:rRNA from 1 species